AGCAGCCGCGGUAAUUCCAGCUCCAAUAGCGUAUAUUAAAGUUGUUGCAGUUAAAAAGCUCGUAGUUGAAUUUCGGGGUCAAUAAGUUGGUCGUGCCAAUGGUAUGUACUGGCUUUAUUGAUUCCUACCUCUUGACGAACUGUGAUGCCAUUAAUUUGGUGUUGCAGGAAAUCAGGACUGUUACCUUGAAAAAAUUAGAGUGUUUAAAGCAGGCUUACGCUUGAAUACAUUAGCAUGGAAUAAUGAAAUAGGACGUUUGAACCUAUUUUGUUGGUUUCUAGGAUCGACGUAAUGAUUAAUAGGGAUAGUUGGGGGCAUUAGUAUUCAAUUGUCAGAGGUGAAAUUCUUGGAUUUAUUGAAGACUAACUACUGCGAAAGCAUUUGCCAAGGAUGUUUUCAUUAAUCAAGAACGAAAGUUAGGGGAUCGAAGACGAUCAGAUACCGUCGUAGUCUUAACCAUAAACUAUGCCGACUAGGGAUCGGAUGAUGUUAAUUUUUAAUGACUCAUUCGGCGCCUUAA
rnacentral:rRNA from 1 species